rnacentral:lncRNA from 1 species
UCCUUCUGCUCUCCCUCCUUUCCUCCAUUUCUCCCUCUCUCCCUUAUAUUUCUUCAAUUCUUAUCAUUUGAGUAUCUAGUUAAUGAGUUCUCAUUUGAUGUUAUAGAUUUUUUUAGCUCUUCCUCACCUGUAUUCCUUGGAGUAAAUUUUAUGAAUCUUAGAAACAGAGUCUGGCUGAUAAAUUUAUUGGUGCAUCAAACUCAUUGAGAAAUGUCUUCCAGUUUCAUCUUCCAAAAUGUUACUAGUUCUAAAGGUAGUGGUUGAUAGUUCACACAAAAAAAUCAAUACUGAUUCAGAAAUAACUUGCUCAUCAGGGAAAUAAACCUGGAAGGUUUUAGUCAUAAUUUAUUUAUAAUCCCUCCCUUUGUGAUAUUCAGAGAUGAAAUUUGAGGUGAAAAAAUUCAAGUAUUCUUUUUCAUAUAUUUUGAAAAUAUAAGAGUCUUUGAUGUAUUCUGGGAGCUAGCAUCUUGAAAAGAGGAAUAAAAAAUGACUUAUCUGGAGUUAGGAAGGUGCUAGUCCAUCACCCAUAAACCAGUUAAAGAGAUAAAGGUGAUUUAUCAGAAAGUACAACAAAAGUGAUAACAAUAGAAUAUUAUUCUCCAUACCAAGCAAGUUACAGGUAUCCCCUGCUCUGGACAAAUGCGUGAUGUGUAAACCCAGAUUGACCAAGGGCAUAAGGGAGAUGUAGAUCUGUAGCUUUAGCACACAUGACCAAGGUGGUGCACUUGGUGUAGGCUCUCGGCUGAUUGCUGACUUUGCACACUUGCGGGGCAUUUCAUGAAUCUAAAUUCGGGAAUAAGAUUUAGAAGCUGGCAGAUGACGAAGAGAUUGUUUGGGCAACCAGGACUCUUGUAUGUGACAUAAUCAAUGCUGAAGUUAGUUCAUCAUCCCAUUCCUUGUAUUUCCAAAUCUGUGAUGCUUAGGGCCUUAUCUAGUGCCUUUUACCAAGUGGGUGGGUUGUAGAAAAAAAAGGACUAAUACUCAUUUUCUUUGAAAUAUAAGCUUUUGAAAGAAUAUUUUAAAAAGAGGACUAACAUUUUAGCUUUCAUGUAAAAGUUUGAAAAAAUGCAAUUUCAGUACUUGGAAAUGAGCAUUUUAAGACUCCUUGUUGACUUCCCUUGUAUUUUAAUGCAUUUCUAGAGAGAUGUCUGCUUCUGCAUUGCUUCCCCAUGAUUUACUUCAGUUGAAAGUUCAGCCAGAUCCAUUAUUUUCUUUCUUUGACACAUUAUGCAAAUUAAAUGCAAAAUUCAGUGAUGAGAGGAAAAGGUCUCAGAGCAUUGAGCAGAUGCCGUGUCGGUAAUAGAGUAAGGCAAUUACAAAAUUACUUGCAGCCACUGUGACUGUGUAUUUUCCCGUAUUCUGAAAAGAAAUCUGUCAUGUGCUCAUCACUACGAGAUUUAUUUUUCCAUUGAUGUGUGGGAGAUUUAUGCAUUUAACUGUCGUACACAUUGAUGAGAGAAACAUGCACCUACAGAAAUAAUUUUUUAUAGAUUAGUGAGAUAUUUAAUUCUGACUUUCUUUUCCACUAAAAUGAUCCUUUGUAAUAGUCUUCUCUUCGCCUGUAUUGUAAGUAUGAACAUCAGAAUGGCUCAGUAAGCUGGAAGAGCAAAACCAUGUCUGUGUGUAGAAUUCCAAUGCCAAAAGAGAAAUACCACUUAUCUUCCACUUCUAUAAAUAAAGGCAAUAGCAAAGUCAUUAACAAGAGCAAGGGGUGAAUUCAAUGAUCUCUAAGAUUUUUUUCCAGCUAAAAAUGAUAUGAUUCUUAUCUAUUACUAGGAAAUAGUGGUAUUGAAGUAGAAUUAUGAGCUCUACAUUCAGUCUACUUUUCACAUCGGAUUGUCAUCUCAUUUUUGGAGGGUAAUUCUCUUUAGAUUCUCUAGUCCUAAGCUGUAAUAUGUCUUAUAGUUGUCAUAUUUUAGUGAACAAACCAGAAAAAAAGAUUGCCUGCAUCAUAUGUAAUUUUUGUUCAAUCCAAGGGCAAUAUCGUAGAAUACUUGACUCAUAGUUUAAAAUGAUCAUUUUUAUUGAGUUCAAAUUAAGUCUUCUGUAGAUAUAAUAAUUAUGUGAAUCAAAAAUAUGUAUUUGUGUGAAGAAAUGCUCUUUCUUUUCAGGCUUGCCUUCAAAAAAAGUUAGUCUCAUACUGAAUGGCAAUAAUUUCUUCUUCCUGCCUCCUAAGAAUACAUUGAGGAUAUAAAAUUAUGAGACUAGAAUGCUCUUAUUUCAAAAACAUUCACAGUAGGCAUUGGCCUGAGCAAUAAUUGUGAAUGUUUCAUAUUUAGAGAAUGGGUAGAUUAUUAAAUAUGAACUAUGAAAAUUUCUACCCUUCUGGUUUUUCUGUGGGAUAUAAUCCUCUGGUCUUAAAAAUUAAUUUUAGUAAUGGAUUUUCACAAGUUCCCUUGGAGAGCAUGCUUGGAACAUUUUUGUGACAUACACUCUUGAGGUUUUCCUUCUAAAUUUCUUUUCAUCACUCAUUUUGACUUUCAGAUUUCUUAAAUAUUUGUUAUUACGUGUAUCUUUGUAAAUAAAAGUGAGGCUUAAGAAGUUUGACUUUGUUUUAGGAUGGAACCUUGUUAAAAGUACAAGCACACAUGUGUUGACAGCAGCUAGAGGAAGCGUGAUAGUGUGGAAAGAAACAGAAGUCCAAAGACCUAGGGGUACAUCAAGUUCCAUUAUUUAAUUGUCAUCUUUGUCUUUGCUACUGAAAGUAUGGUCCACAGACCAUUUGCAUCAGCAUUGCCAGGGAGCUGGUUAGAAGGGAGAAUCUCAGGCCCCUUCUAGACUUACUGGAUCAGAGCCCGCAUUUUGGCAACAUUACCAGGAACUCAUAUACACACUCAAAUUUGCCAGGCUCUGAACUCUAUAAUCUCCAGCAUUCUGAUUUCUCCAAGUCCCUCCUUUCUCAUCUUUGAAACAGAGUAAUUUCUACCUCACAAGUCUAGUCGAGAAUUAAAUACAAACAUGUAAAGCUGCUGUGUUCGGUGCCUGGCAUACAUGGCUGUCCCCCAUUCCUGCCAACACACACCUUCAAGCAAGACAACUUGAGAGAGGCUGAGUGGGAGAGAGGGUGAAUAAAUGUUAAUAACUCACAUUAGAGUUGGCAUUUUUUUUCUUUUUACUUGUCUCUAUUAUAUAGGGUGACUGUAUUAAUUGUGCAAUACCUUUGCUUUUAAAUAAUACUACUGGGAUAAAAGUGAGAUUCUAAUCUCACAUAUUAUUUCAAGAUAAGGUUCAGAUACAGAGUUUUAAAGAACCACCUAUAAAAAUCAAAUCCACAUAAAUUCAGAGGAAAAUAUCCUCAAUGCUUAUAUAAUAUUGGAUGUUUAGGGUGAUACCCUCUAAGCACAACUUCAAAGGAAGAAAUCAUUAGGGAAAAUACUGACAUAUUUGAGUACAUAUAUGUUUUAAAAUUUAAUUUACUUGAAAAGGAAUGAAGAUAAUUAAAAAGGAAGUCACAAAUUGAAAAAAAUUAUAUGCAUAGACAAAGAGUUGAUAAAUUUAACAUAGAAACAGGUUUUACAAGACAAUAAAAGGAUAAAUGUAAUGAUUUUCAAUAGAUAUAAGACAUUAAUAGGUGGGCAUGUAAAAAAUGUCAAGAUAACAUGAAAAAAUUAGUUUUACUACUCAUAAAAGACAUGCAAGUGAAAACAACCAAGAUGCCAUCUCCAGUCUAUCAGAUUUCUCUAAAAAUGAGAAAGCGCUCAUAACCAGUGAAGGAGAAAAGGAUCUGCUUUCAUCUUGGUUAAGAUAUACAUUGCAACAAUAUUUAUGGGAAAUUCUUUGGCUAUAUCUAUCACUAUGAAUUUAUGCAUACAUUUUUCACCCAAUAAUUAUACUUUUGAGAAGUUAUCCUAAGGAAUUAAUCUAAAACUGAAAUGAUACAUGUUCAAAAUUUUCAUUAAAGAAAACCACCAAACUGUACCAUAAUGGGAACUAUUCAUAAAUAUGUAAAUUAUGUCCAUAUGAUAGAAUACUAGGCACCCAUUAAAUCAUGUUGUAAACAAUAUUUUUAUUGAAUUUUUUAAUUGAAACCAAAAAAGAGCAAGAUAAACUCAGUAUACAUAGCAUGUCAUUUUUGCAAAUGUGUAUGCAAAUGUGUAACAUGUAUAUUUUUAAGAUUGGAAGCUGGUACACUAAAAGUGAAUGUUAAUUCUGGGUUAUGUUUUUCCCAAAUUUUUGCCUGUUUCUGCCCUGCCUCUUUGAUUUUAACAUUGAGCAUACAUUUAUAGUUUAAAGACUGUUAAAAGUGGCACUUAGAUAUAGCUUAAAAAUAAUUUUAAUAGCACAGGGAAAUUAUUUUAUUAAUGCUAGUUAAAUUAGACGAAAAUAUAAAAUUUUAAUGGCAGAAAUAUUUCAAUUUAUAACAUAUGCAUAGGAAACUGAAAAGAGUAGUUAGCUCUAAAUAUGGGGAUUAUGGAUAAAUUUUAUAUUCUUCACUUUUUUAUUUCAAAAUUUUUAUAAUUAGCUUUAGGAUUUUUAUAACCAGAACAAAUUACAUUUAAGACUCCCUUCUAAACUUAUUUGCUUAUUUUCAAUCUCAAAUUGUGAAUUUGUAUGGCCUCUAUAUUUCCAAUCUAAUUUUACAGACAUUAAAUUUCUCUUGAAAUUCAGUGAAAAAUUAGCAGAGUCGAAGUUACACUUCUGUAUGGCAUUUAAAUUCCUCCUCCCAGAAUACAGCCACUGUUCUACAGUACAGAGGAGUCCUUCAUAUCACGAUUUUCAUUGUGUCUAAGAGGCAUGUGUUUCCACUUUGUCAUUAUUUGGUCUAAAAGGAUUUUUCUUCUAUUUUGCUGCUGUUUUUGUACAAGACAUAUAAAGAAAGGUGUUAAGGGAGUGUUAAAUAUAAUCAAGGUGUUAAGGAGAAGAGCCCAGAGAGAGAACUCUUAAUCUUUUCAUCUGGUCCAGUUGUCAAAGUCUUUUGUCUUUAGCCAUCACUUUUUUAAUCAGAGACAUAUAAUCUAUUAACUAUGGGAACAAGAACCACAGAUUUAGCCUGUGCUUAUCUGGAAACCUCCCCUAAAAUACUACUGAACGACUCUUUUUUUUUUUAUUCCUGUCUCUUUUUCUGUUGCAAACUGAUUGUCCACUAUAACCUGGAGAGGGGACUCAAUUUUUAGAAACUGUCUUAUACACCUCUUAAUUAGUUACCUAUUGCUGCAUAUACCCAAAAUUUAGCAGCUUAAAACAAUAAUGAAAUUUUAUUAUGCCCACAGUUUCUUUAGGUCUGUAGUAAUUUAAGAGAAACUUAGCUGGGUGAUUAUAGCUGACUCUCUCAUGAUAUUACAGUCAUAUACAUCAGGACUGCAUUCUUCUGAAUACUUGACUAGAGCUGGAAGAUUCACUUCCAAGAUGGCUCCCUCACAUGGCUGGCACAUUAGUGCCUGCUGUUGGGGGGAGACUUCAAUUCUUUGUUGGGUGGUCUUCUCCAUGGGGCAGCUUAAGGAUCUUCAUGGUUUGUGGGCUGUUUCACAAAGUGUGCGUGAUCCAUAGGAGAUUAAGGUGGAAGCUGCAAUGUCUUUUAUGAUAGAGCCUCAAAAGUCACACAAUGUCAUUCCCAACGUAUCCUUUUUUUCACAUAGGUCAGCCCUACGCAAUGUGAGAGUGAGGAAGGGACUACAGAAAAGAAUGAAUUCCCAGAGAUGAGUAGGAUCAUAUUGGGUGCCAUCUUGGAGGCUGGCUACCAGUGAAGAAGACUGCUUUCUGGCCCUCAGUGAUUUACUUCCAUCUCACAUGCAAAACAUACUCCCUUUAUUGUGGUUCCCAAGAGUCUCAUUCUAUUAUGGCAUCAGCUCGAAGUCCAAGAUCUUAUCAUCUAAGCCAGGUGUACUAGUUUUCUUUGCUGUCUAACAAAUAAUUUAAAAAAUGUAGCAGCUUAAGAUAACACCCAUUUACAUGUCACACCUCUGUAGGUCAGAAGUGUGGGCAAAGGGUAGCUGGGUUCUUAGCUCGAGGUUGAAACCAAGGUGUUAGCCAUGGCUGCGGUCCUUAUGUGGAGCUGAGGGUUCUCUUUCAAGCUCAUCCAGGUUGUUGGCAGAAUUCAGUCACUUGUGACUGACAGACUGGUGUUCCUAGAGACCACCUGCCAUUCUGUACUGCGUAACCCUCUUCACAAUAUGGCAGUUUACUCCUUCAAGGCCAACAGAAGAAUCUUCCUACUGCUUGGGUUCUCUGACUUCAUUUGACCCUGACCUCUAAACCCAGAUUUAAAGGUUUUAUAUGAUUAUAUCUGGCCCACCAGCAAAAUAGUCCUUUUUAUUAACUCAAAGCCAGCUGUUUAGUAACCUUAAUUAUAUCUGAAAAAAACAGAAUCAAAGGAGUGGUAUCUCGUAGUAUUCACAGAUUCUAUCCACACUUCAGAAGUGGAAAUUACACAAGGCCUGAACAUGAGGAGAUGGGAAUCUUAGAAUCUGUCUAACAUACCAGGUCUAUGUGCAAAUAAGAUCAAUCUCUGUUAGUUUACUCUUAUGGGGUAAUUAAUUACCCCAAAACUUAGUGGCUUAAAACAAUAGCAUAACUAACUUCUCAGUUUCUAUGGGUCAAGAAUUCAGAAGCAUCUUUCUUCAGUGGUUAUGGCUUUGGCACUCAUAUGAAGUUGCAGUUAAGAAGUCAGUCAGGGUGAUAGAAAUAUAAAGGCUUGACUGGGGCUGGAGGAUGUGCUUCUAAGGUGAUUUACUCACAUGAUCAAGUUGGUAUUGGCUGUUGCAGGCAGGUCUCAUUUCUUCCGCAAAUGAAAUGCUCUCCAGGCUGCAUGAGUGUCUUCAUAACAUGGUUGCUGAUUUACAUUGGAUGGAGAGAUCAAAGAGGAUGAGAGGAAAGCAGCAAUGUGUUAUAGGACCCAACUUCAAAAGUUACACAUCAUUGCUUCUGCCCUAUUCUGUUGGGCAAUCCUGAUGCAAUAUAGGAGGCACCAUGAAUAGCAGGAGGCAAAUAUCAUCUGGGCUUUCUUGUUAACCUCAGUUAACAACAACAAAACAAAUAUUUAAAAAACUAAAGGAAAGAGAUUUCUGGAAUAUUUCCAUUCUCUGUCAUGCCCACUGCCAUAGUCUACUCAAGUUCUCAUCUCCUAUUGGACCUCUGCGGUAGCUUUAUAAGUCCUGUCCUUGUUUCCAAUGUCAUCCCUUUCAAAACGCUUCAAAUAGCCUCCUUAAAGCCAUGACUCCUCCCACGGUUAUAACCCUGCAGGUAAAGGCACUUGAGGACAUAAUCUGUACCAUCUCUGGCGUCAUCCCUUUCAUUCCCCUUCACCUCCCCCAACUAUUUUUGUAUUUCAGUCAUGCUGGACCUCUUAAUGUUUCCCCAAAACAUCCUAAGCAAUUUCACGUCUCUAUGCCUUUUCUUUUCCUGUUCUCUUUGCCUGAAAUAAGAACGACAGAUAAUAGUGACUAUGCAAGUCCUAAAAUCGAGGCAGCCACAGUGCUAAAUCACACAUUGGAUAGUUCAAUUUUAUUCUUAUAACAACCCUUUGUGGUAAAUCUUAUUACCAUGCUCAUUUUACAAAUGGGCACUCCUAACCCGAUGUGCAUAAUGAUUAAAAACAUAGACUCAAGAAAAGUUUGGAGGUUCUGGCGUAACCCUCUUUGUUAUUCUCUAUGCAACUAGCUUAAAAAUAACAACUUUGAUUAUUCUAAUCUAUUAACCAGUUUUCAGUGUGUCUGACCAAAUCAGUUGAAUUUUAUUUUUUUAAAUAUGUGUGUGUGUGCAUGUGUCAGUAUGUACGUGUUAAAGAGUAGAGGGAGGAAGUUGAAAAUCUGACAUUUGAUUUAUUUCUCCUGGGACAAAGGAAGUUUGGAUAUGUCAAACUGCUGGCUAAUCAACACGUUAAUCAAUGCAAAUCUCUAGUAUGGAUAUAGUUAUAUUUUGCCCCCCUCUUCCUUUCCAAACUUCUUUCCAGUCUCAUGACCAGCUUAUUGGCUUCAUAUUACCAAGUAAAUAUAUCAACUGCCCAUAUGUAUAGUACCCAGACAAUGAGAACACUGCCUAAAUAUUGUGUUUUCAAUACUACUUGCUUUUAGCAACAAAUCAUAGCACCCAGCCUAACUUUAAAAAUUCCAUGUCAUCCAACUUCAAACUAUAACAAAAAUUGAGUUUUACAGAAGAGUUUCAAAACAUUUUUAUGCAUUAGACACUUCAGAAAUUAUCUCUUAAAAACAAAACAAAAUAAAUAAGGGACAAAAACAAUAGAAAACGUCAGGCACCAAACUGUGAACUCUCUUUUGUCCAUGUAUGAUUUAAAAAAAAAAAACUCACUGAUGGUAAUUUAAGAAAUUUGACCUUUAGGAAAAUCAGGCUGAGGCUCAUCUUUGUACUUUUUAAAACAAGUCAAUAAAACAUAUAAAUAAUAGAGAUGAGUGCAGCUCACAGGGGACACUCAUAUUUUCUAGGAGCCUGUGGAUAUAAACAAUGAAUUUCAUGAACACAGAGCACAUUUCUACAUGAUCUCCUUUUCUUUACAAGUUAUUUAUGUUUUACUGGAAAUAUUAAAACUUCAUGUCUCUUUGUUGCUCUUGUUUCUUUAAAUUUUUAUUUUUAUCAUCAGUCAUUGUUCAAUAACUCAAAAUCAUAUAAAAUAAAACAGUUUCAACAUCAUUCCGUACUCAAGAUGAUCUCUAUUAAAUAAUGAUUUUUUUCUUGAAAAAGCAUUCUAUAAUUUUUUUUAGUUUUCCAGAUGACUAUUUAAACCAAAUGUUUAAAUGAAUGAUUAAUGAGUCUUUUAUCUUAUUUAUCCCACCUGCCUACUGCAAAAAGACAUGAAUUUAAUACAUUUUAGAUUUUAAACAGUUGUAUAUCUGUAAAAAAACAAUUUUUACAGGUUUCAUAUUCUGGACACUAGAAAACACUUCCUCCUCACAGCGCCGAGUUGUAUGAAAAGGCAGCUCAAUUGUCUUUCCUUGAGCAGCCUUGUGUGCCUGGGUAUUCCCUUCCAUCUCUCACCCAUGGAGUUCAUAUUCCUGUUCUCAUGUCACCACCUCUGUCAACGAAAUAGGCUCUGCCAUUUCUCAAAUUUUAUGGAGAAUUAUCCUGAUGAGUUAAGGCAGAGGUUGAAAACUCGCAGCCCUUGCUCCAAUUACAGAUUUUAUUUUUAAAACCCAGUGUUUUUUAAAAAAUCGAGGGAGUUUACACAAAAAUUCAUGUUUUCUGUUUCUCUAGAAAACAGCAAAUCUGGCAACACCCUGCUCACAUUCCCACCUACCAAGAAUGCUGCACAUUAAAUGGUGGCUUUUCUUUAGGUGACUCUAAUUCACUGGGGUCUCCAUGUGACGUUUCAGCCUUUGCACCCUACUUGUCCGCUGCAGGCCCAGGAGCUCUCUACUCCUCAUAUGCAUUACAGGACCCCAUGCACAUUGAAGAUGUUUUCUCAGGCAGAGCAGACACCAGGCAAAUAUCUUCUGGUCUUAGGAGCAAGUCUUCUGAGAAUCAAUGAUGACAAAUAUCUUAAAUGGUCUACUCGAUGGUUCUGAAAAUGUAAGAGCUAAACUACCUGUAUCAAAAUCAUCUUGGGGGCUUAUUUAAAACAUAUAUGAUAAGGCCCCACCUCAAACCUAAGGAGUCAGAAUUUCUACGGAAAGGCUUGGGAAUAGGAACAUUAACACAAGCAUCCCGGGUGGUUUUUAUGAAACAAAGCUUGAGAAUUAUUGAAUUCUUCUCCGAUCUGACAGCUCUUCUCCUGGGCAGACCCAAUUAGAGGGAACUGAUGAGUUUUAGGAAAUACUGUAAUUCUAACUCAUCAGUCCAGCAGUGCUGAAAAUGCAGAAUUUUGUCCUUAUCAAAAGCCAAUUAAUGCUAACCUUUUCAGUGUGUGUCCAGUACCACCAUCGGUAAGGUAAAUAAACAGGCAGUUUUGCAUAUAAUCUAGUGAUUUUUAAUUUAGUUUUUUCCCUUACUCAUCCUAAAAAAAGCAGGGAGUCAUUGGGCUUUUGUAUCUAUUUUAGCUGAGUUAUUAUUUUAACCCCUAUCUUUAGUGCAGAAUUAAAAUAUCACCCUUCUAUUUGCUUUUAUUCCUAAUAUCUGAAUGGUUUCAGCUUGACGCAAUUAGCAUGUAGAGCAUGCUCACCUACUGUAAUCUCCCAGAUGAGUCACUCAGCUCCAGCACAUAACUGCUUCUGGGAUCCUGUUGGCUAACCAGGCUUUGAAACCCAGGGAAAAGAACUGUGUGUUUUCUUCAGAAGUAAUCCAUAAAUGAGAAAUUACCAUAAAUAGGCAGUUUUAUUCACUCUAAGUGAUUUUUACAUAAAAACUGACAAGGCCGUAAAUUGUAUAUAGAAUCAGGUUCCAUAUCCACACAGCUAAUGCACACAUGAAUUAUUCGAUGAAAUUUGCUUCAGUAGUAUUAUCUGAAAUUGGUUUCAGACAAUACAUUAAAUGUUACACAUUAUGGUAAAUUUACUGUAUUUUUGUUCCAGCCACGUCUUGUGUUGGCAAAUCUGCUAAAUUUAAGUUUGCAUUGUAUUCACAUGUGUUGCUAUUUCCUGAGAUGUCCCAAUAUAUUUUAGCCAUCAAACAAAUAGAACUUCACCUCUCUGAGGCUCAGUAUCCACACUUGUUUAUCAUGCAAGAGACAUGCAGGUGAGAAAAUAGGCAACUGCCAUUCUAUCUGUGAUUGCUGUUCAUGGAAGAAGUAAAAAUGAGCUGGGACAAUAUAUAGGUGGCGCCAGGGAUGGCUCCUUGAAGGAAGUGAUCUCACAGCUCAGACCUGAAAGCUGAGUGGAAGUUACCAGAGGAAAAGAGAAAGGGAAUGCAUUGGUUUUCUAUUGCUGGGUCAGAAACUACCACUAACUCAGUGGCUUAAAGCACCAUUCAUUAUCUCAUGUUUUCCCUGGGUCAGGAGUCAGGUGCGUAUCAGAGUCUCAAGAGGCUGACAUCAGGUGUUUGCAGAUGGCAUUCAUGUCUGGGGCUCAGGGUCCUCUUUCAAGCUCCUUCAAGUUGUUGGCAGAAUUUAGUUGCUGUGGUUUUAGGACCGAAGUUCCCACUUUCUUGCUGAUCACCAGCCUGGGGCAGCUCUCAGCCCCUUGAGGCCACCUGCAGUUCCUCAUCCUUUGGCAGAUCCUCUCACAACGUGGCCACUUACUUCAAGACCAGCAAGAGAAUGUUCCUCUUCAGGAAGGGCCCAACUCCUCCUUAUGGAUGUUCUUCUGAUUCAGUCAGGCCCACCCAAAAUAAUUGCCAUUUUUGGUUAACUCAAAAAUCAACUGAUUUGAGAUCCUUAAUUACAUCAGCAAAAUCCCUCCACCUUCUCCAUACAUAAUAACCUAAUCAUGGGAGUGACUGUUCAUCCUGUUCGUGAUUAGGCUCACAUAUAAGAGAAGGAGAUCAUAUAGGACAUGCAUGUAGAGGAUAGAAUCUUGGGGGCCAUCUUAAAAUUGUGCCUACCACAAGGAAGGAUUUUCCAGGCAGGAAGAACCAGAUAUAUGAAGGAGGCCUAAAUGACAGGAUAGCAAUUUCCAGUGUCUGAGGCUAAGGCUGGAAUGCUGACCUGGCCAGAUCAUGCACUGCUAGGUUUAAUGGCCUAUGCAUACUCUAUUAUGCAAUUAUUAAAAUACCUGUUUACAAAGAAUAUUUGAAAUAUUAAAAAAUGGAAAACUGCAUACCGUAAAAUAUUAAAUGGGAAAAUCAGGAUAUGUGUUUAUAUAACAUAGUAUCAGUUUUGGAAAUAUAUAUGCAUAUCUUAAAAGACUAGAAGUAAAUACAUCCAUCUGUUAGCCAUGGAUAUCUCUGGGUGAGAAAGUAUGGAUGAGUUAGAGAUUCUUUGUCCCUUUUCUUAGUUCUAAAAUUUGCCACAAUAAAUAUGUAUUCUCUUAUAAUAAUAAUUAAUUAAAAAACUAUUCAUGGUACUUGCAAAAACAAAUGAAUUUGAGCAGUCUCUUUGAAGGAAUCAAAUUUUGUACUCCAGGUGUUUGAGAGGUUGAAAAACAAGCUCAGGAAUUAGCUGCGCAUGAUCUGUACAAACAAGGGGAUCAGUCAGUGGAAAUGAAGUCCAGCUUCAGCCAAGGGUGGUGAGUAUAACAGACCUACUCUGAUAUGUUUCAUCACUAAACAUUGAGCAAGAAAUCUAGUGUUUAAAUUAUGGAGGCAUUAAAGCAAUUAACCUCCCUCUACCUCAAUUUUCUUAUAUCUAAAAAUUGAGGGGAGCAAAAUUCCAUUCUUGUCACAGGUCUCAAUUGCAAGUAGCAUGCAAGCAAGUAGGCUGAACUCUUGUCUGUCAAUCUAGCUCCUUCCUGGAUGGGGUAUUUAAUCAGCUCUCCUUCCCAAGCACCCAGUGGACUUGAAGCUCACAGUUAGACAGAGAUGGCUAGAGGUGCCAAGUGCUGUUUAUCAUAGGUGACAUCACCUGUGUGCUCAGAGUUAUAAACAUAGGCAGCUUGCCUACUGCCAAAUCCAUUACAACUUUCAGAGGUGUUCACUUAGGAAGAGGAGGAAAGAGUUUUUUGAGAACCAGAUGGGAACUUAGAAAUAAGUAACAUUGACAACCAAAUCCUUCAGACACAUCUUCAAGUUUCAAGAGAGCAGUUAACAAAAAAGAAAAAUGUAUUUUUAGAAAUUGUUUGGGAGGUGAAAGGAUUUUUCUGGGGGGGAGUAGGGUAGGGAAUGGAUAGAGAUGAUUUUUUUUUGGCUCUGCAAUAUCUCAGAGAUCUUUGAGUUGAAAUAUAACAAAAUGUAUUUCCUCUCUCUUGCUCCAAAAACUGAAAAGCAAGUGCACUAGAAAAUGUCAGAGUUGGCCACUGAACAGACCAUAUUUCUAAUUCAUGGCAAGAUGGCUAAAAUAAAAAUUCUUGAAAUACGUAUUUUAAAAUUAGAUUUUGACCUUUGAUAGGGCUUAUCAUGCUAUUUAUAUUGUAGCAGAAGGAACUGAUUUUUUAGUAGUUGCCUCAUCAAAGACAUGACUCACAUUUCCUUAAGCAUUUACACCAUAUGUUUCCUGAGGUAAAAAAAUAAAUAAAUAAAUUUUAUAUUUUUUAUACAAUUAGUGAAAUGUGAGCAAAAAAUAUAAGAAAUCAUUUAAAAAAUAUUUUGGGGAGGAUGUGGUCUAGAAAUGUUGUUUUCUAGAAAUUGAAAUUAUGUUAGCUAUUUGGCCAGUGUAGCCAUUAGGUACAUUUAUGAAUAUAGAUGAGAAGUAAUCAUUGUGAUGCUAGUUUUAUCAUUAAGGAAAAAAGCAGAAUUCAAAAGUUUAGCAAUGAAACACAGGUACUACUGAAACUCACUUUAUAUUUGAAAAUGUGAAUGUGAGUUUAAAAAAGCUUUUGUUAGACUAACUGAAAAGAAUCAUUUUAACAUUUAAAAAGAAAAAUAUUAUUUUAAGUGACAUUUGGUGACAUUAUUAUAUGUGUACAAGCUGUGACUAUAAGAUAAUGAGACAAAUUAUUAUGUGGCCAGUGGAAAUUAAAUUUAUCUUUAUGAUUACUAGCAACAGGGACUAUUUUAUUCAACUAUCUUUACAUAAUACAAAAUUAUUGUAAAAUUUCUAGGAAAUUCAUAUUCCACUUAAAAUAUGAGGAAGUACAUUUGGAAAAAAUAUUAACAUAUGAAAAUCAGCAUCCCAGUUAAGGAAUCCCCAGUUUCCCACUUGGUGCUCAAAUCACUUCACGUUUUAUUUCAUUGGUACUUUUUCUAGGGCAGUAGAUUUAGGAAUAGAAAACAGACUCUACACAUGGAAUACACUAAAGUCUUGAGGAGGUGUGAUAUUUCCCUAAGUUUGGAUAGGUGGUAUCAUCCUUUCAGUCACUCUUGACUCUGCAUUAGACUCUCUACCUAAUGAUCCCCAAGUCAUUUCACUUCUGCCUUCUUAACAUUUUGAAGAUGUCCUCUAAAAUUUCAAGUCCCACCAUCUCUGCCUCCGAACUCACCUCCCUGACUUUCAGUCUUGAAGCACCUUAACAACCCCUCCCCUCCUGUGCAUGUUCCACCUGGAAACCAGGGUGAUCACUCUGAAAUGCCAAUCUGAUCAGUCAUUUCCCUACUUUUGAACCUUCAAUAACUUCCUAGCACCUAUUCCUAGAAACCAUUCCAACAUAUCACCUAGGCAAAGGAAACCCUUUUCUUACCUGGCUCCUACUUAUCCCUCCAGAUUCACCUUUUGACACCUCCCACUUCAUCUCUCUGCAGCCCCCUUCCUGCACACACACGGAGUUUCAGUCUUGCCAAACUCUUCGCAGCUUCUUGAGUGGACCUUGCUCUCUGCACUACAAUCUCUUUCUGCCUAGAGAGUCCUUUACCUCCCCCAAUCUGGUUAACUUCUACUGUUUAUUUAAGUCUUAACUCUAAGUAGAUGUCAUUUUUGAGGAUGCUCUCUCUGUUCCCACUUUGGAACUUGGGCUUCUCUGUUGUCCUGGUGUCCCGUGUAUUCCUCUGUCAUAGCCCUCAUCUCAUUGAAUUGUAAUCAUGUCUUCACUAGUGUUUCCUUUCUAGCAUGAUAGAUUUUUGUAUUGCCAGUGACCCCAACAAAUUCCCCAGGUCCUAGCCCUGUGACUGGAACACAGUAGGCAUUUAAUAAUAGUUGACAAAUGAGUUAGUAUAUGUAAUGAAAAAUCUACCUGCCUGAGCAUUAGGAAAUAUAAAAUUAAUCUAAACUUUGCCACUUUCUGUAAUAUCUGUGUGUCAGUCAGGAAUGCUUUUGGCUGCAAGAAAACCCCACUGACAGUCUUUUAAAACAAAUAAGGAAGUCUAAAAGGAGUCAGAUGCUGGCCUUGGUUCAAUACAAUGUUAGAGGCAGCAUCUCAGUGCUUCUCUAAUGGUCACAAAAUGACUACAGUAACUCCUUCCCUCACAUCCACUUCCAGUUCAAGAAGCAGAAUGAGAGACAGCAAUAGCCACCCUGUUUCUUCAUCAAGAAAGCAAAGAUAUCUUAGAAGUCCCCACUGUCCUUCAUUUACUUCUCAUGGGCUAGAAUUAUCUCAGUGGCCACCCCAAGUGCAAGAGAAACUAGGGAAAUUAGUUUUUAGCAUUCCCACACUCUAUGUUGAAAAUGAGUAAGAGACAAUAAUUUGGGGAAUAGGUGUGGGAUUAGUCAGCCAACAGUGUUUGCUACACCUUGGGACAAAACAUUUUACCUCUCUUACUCUUUGAUUCUUUCAUUGAGUGAAGAAUUAGAAUAAGUAAUCUUUCUUCAAGAAUCAAUUUUCUCUCAUCUAUAACUCCCAUAUAUUCUUAUUUCCAAAAUGGAAUUACCUUCUACACCAGACAGUUACUUCAAGCUUUUCCCCUGAAUAUUUCACAUUUCCAGAAAGCACUAUAUUACAAAGAAGCCCUUCCUUUUCAAGAACUCUAUUUGCCAUAAUGUUCUCCCUAACAAGGGCUGAACAGUACGUGCCCAGAUUCCCUGCCUCUGACCUCACCACACCCUCUUCUGUGUGGCGGUCUCUCAAAUUGUUUAGGACAAUUAUCAUGACUUCUCUAAAUCUCCCUUUUUCCAGGCUCAAAUUCCCUAUGCUUCAGUAGUUUUUCAGAUAAGCCCCUUCUGUCCCUUCACAACCCUGGUCAGCCAACACCAGACAUACUCUCUUCAUUUACUUAUGAUUCAUUGAACAGAUAAUCACUGAGUUCCUGCCAUGUGUCAGCACUGCUCUAGGAGCUGGUGAUAUGGUGAGAAACAAGGAAGGGAAGGCCCCUCCUCUCAUGAGGCUUACAGAGGAGCAAAGGAAUCAGAUGAUAAGAUAAGCGUUACACACACACACACACACAGAGGAUCAUUUCAGAGAGUGAUUCGUGCCAAGAUGAAAAUGACAAAGGGAGAUAGGAGAGUGACAAGGGAUGUGUGUGUGUGUGUGUGUGUGUGUGUGUGUGGCAGUGCACGUGUGAAACUAGAAGACAAGCCUUCAGAUGAUCAGGGAGGUUUCUCUAAGACCUGAAUGGGGAUAAUUAACUAGCAUGGAAGAGGAAGAGGUUUUGAAGCAGGAGGACUUUGUAAGUGAAAGGCCCUGGGUAGAAUGAGCUAGACCUGAGCCAGGAAAAAAAAGAUGCUCAGAGGGGGAAAGUGUUGGAAGAUGGCCUGAUAAUGCACAUGGGGAGCCCCCCACCACAAGCUCAUGUAGGACAGGACAAGAACUCAGAUUGUAUUCUAAAUGACAGUAUUUCAAUACCCAUCUUAAAAUGUGUCUGGACAAAACUUAACACUUAGCUACACAUAUAGCCUGACUGGAGCAGUCCAGUUUAUAACCUCUCCUUGUAGUGGGCACUGUAUUUCUAUGGAUGCAAGCUACAGUUAUAUGACUUUUGUGGAAGCCAUGCUAUCCCCACAGUUCCACUGUGAUUUCCUAUAUGCUCUUUGAUGCACACUGCUCACAUGCAUGAAUAUUACUUGCACAAAGAGAGAGAGUAGGUGGAUGUGAUGCCAGGAGCUAUUAGAAUGAUUCACAUUACACUUCCACCAUAUGAAAAAUAAUGUACAGUCUAAAGCAACACUGCAUCAUAUCAUCGAGCAGCUUGGGAAAGCCUAAAUUACAUAUUUGAAGUUCAGUCAGUCAUUGAAAUUAGAUAAUCUGGAUGGUCCUGAAAGUGUCUUUCUUGAGAGCUUUCCUCCAAAAGCAAAAUUGAAUGGUAAGGAAAAAAAUGAAGUACAACAAAAAUGACAGCAAAAAACCUGAAAAACAAAAAACAAAAAACAAACAAACAAAAAACCCCAAAAACUGAGUAAUAUCAACCAGGCAGGAGUUGAAGGAGAGAAGCCCAACUGUUGGUAGAUAACUUGGGAUGAGCCAAUUAAAUAUUGGUCUUCUCUCUCUCAGAGGCCCUAAUUGCAUUCCCUCCAGCAGCCACAGGCCUGGGGUUUUCCCCAGGCCUGUGGCAUUCAGACAUCAGAGCUGAGAACUCCAGUGACCACCAGGCUGCAUUUUAAUGCUAAGCUGGGAGCACUGAUACUCUCCAAGACAGCCUUGCAAGCUCCAUCUUCCACUGACUCAACGUUCAGUGGAACGUUCAGUGUGUUUCAUCUGCUGUUCAGUCAUGCAGGCAGCAGGGAUCCUGAGGGCUCUCCUCCCCAAUAUGGUACCAAGUUUUGAUUCAUCCUUUUCCUCUUCCCUAUCAGCAGGUAUUCUAGAAGACAGUUUUAUGAUGACAUUCACAGCUAGCAUUAAAACCAGAUAAAAAUAAAACAGGAUGUCAAUAAAGAACUAAUGAUGUGUGUCUGUGUAAAUGUAUAAUAAUAAUAAAAAGAAUAGACAUCUGUUUGUCAAGGUACCAUUUAAGGCCUUGGGGCUUUAAAUGAAACUGCUUUAUAAAUGCACCAACAUAUGUGACUGUUUGCCUACGUCUUUCAUCCAUGAAAAUUGCCCUGUAGACAGUUGCCUUUGAGGUGAAAAGCAUUCUAUAGGCACUAAAUAUUAUGCUAGAACACCUCUAAGUGCUAAUCUAACUACCUUCAUGACGGAAGUUUCAGGAGAACAAUUUAAGGGUCAUGGAAAAAAAGUGUUAAACGAGUUGGUAAUCUGACAUUUCCUAAAAACUAGAUUCAAAACCGAAGGGAAAGUAGAGAGAGGAAUCAAAACUAGCCUAGUAGGAUGGAAGUAGGCCUCCCUCCUUGGAGGUGUGAAAAUGCCUGGAAUAAUUUAGGCAAGAAUGCCAACUGUCAGUGAUGACCUUGGUUUAGGGGCAGUUAUAGCAUGGUGGAAACACCCCUGGACUGGAGAUCCGGCAUCCCUUAUGGGGAUAUGAAAGAAAUUUGGCAGGUCUCUUAACCUCUUUGACAUUCCUUUCUUCUUUGUUAGGUAAGAAGCUGGUGCUGGUUCAGUGUAAUUUGAACUGUGUUCUGCAUGACUGUAGGGUUCUGCUUAGUGCCACGUGGAGGUGGGGAUGCCUUGGGUGAAGAUGAAGGAGGUGUAGUAAGCAGGUGGGGCUCUGCACUCUUUUUACUCUCCUUCUUCCAGUAUCAUCAGAACAACUCCACUUUUUUGUCUUUAUACACUGAGUUAUUUAUAAAAUCCUAGUUUUUUUAAGUGUCAAACAAUGCUUGAUUAUGAAAUGAUAGCAUUAUUCUAGCAUUCUAACUAAAGUGUGUAAAUUAUAAACAACUAUCUUUAAUGGUCAACAAAUUGUCAUCAUUACUGAGCAGUGUUGUUAGUAACACCAAGUAAUACAAUUAAUGAAAUCCUUGAAAGUAGAACCUAUCAGUGAGCCAUGCAUACAACUGAUAAGCUGUGGAUAAUGUAUAGAAGAAUGAGUUCAUUUGGUAAUUAUUUGUACUUUUCAAAAUAUUGGUGAACUUUCAUCUUUAAGGAGCAAUGGUGUCCUAGUUAUUCUUGCCACAACUGCAUGGAAACUCUCGAAUCUGUUAGUAUGUCCUUGGGCACAAAAACAGUAUUUUUUGGAACUGCUCAAAAAUUAUGUAGUUUUGUAGACAUUUAGGGAAAAAUCUCAUAAUUUAUGUUAAACACUCAGUUGUCUUGGUGUUGAUUGAAAGCAAAUAAUACGUGCUUAACAUCCUGCUAGUUGCUGAGGGAGAUUCAUUCAUCAUUUUAGAAAAUGUUUCUGGGCAUCAGUCAUAUAAUAAACACUUUCCCAGCACUUGGCUUCACAAAGGAACAAAACAGACAAUGCACAUUCCUGCCCUAGUGGAGCAUAUAUUCUAGAUGACAGACUGAACACCUAGACAUAUAUGACAAGCUCUUUCUUGCAAGGAGAGUCCAGUUAGGAAAAUGUCAACACCUAAAACAGUUAAAGGCUAAGAUAGCUUCUGUGGACACUAAGUGCUACAUAGUAGUUCCAGAGGAGGCAGAGAGUUAGACCUGGCUAGACACUGGACAGGGGGUAGAAUUAGACAGAUAGUUCCUGGCUUGGUGCCUGGUACAUAGUAGUUGCUCAAUAAAUAUGUGUUGAAUAAAUGAAAAACCAGGACUGACUGAAUAGACAGUUUACACAUUUACAUAAUAAGUGUGUAAUUUAGGGAAGUGGGGUUAGAAUGAGCCUGGGUGAAGGAAGCCUUGAAUGAGAGAUGGAGAACUGUAAACGAUAAAGGUUUUGAAGUUGGGGAAAGGUGAGGGGGAAGUGAAGUGUAACAUGGAGAAGCAAAAGUGUGAAUAUUUUCCAAGAUGCCUCGACGUUAUGAUAGAUGAACCUCUGAGACAGAAUGUAGGGGGAAGAUAGAGGAAAGAGCCAAAGAGCCUCUGAGGGUGCAAAGAAGUAAAGAAAAACCAGGAUGUAUGAUGAGAAUUUUAUUAUGGAGCUAUCCAGUGUGGAUGUGACUUCUCUUCCCCAUAUCGACACAAAACACUUAGCAAAACAUUUCUCUUUCUCUCUCUCAUGCUCUCCUGUUCUUUCUCCCUCUAUCUCUAUCUCCUUUUGCUCUAUCUCUAGAUAUCUAUUAGACAGAUGAUAGAUAGACAGAUACAUAGAUAGAUAGGUAGAUAGAUAGAUAGGUAGAUAGAUGAUAGAUAGAUAGAUAGAUAGAUAGAUAGAUAGAUAGAUACAUCUUGGAAGUGGUAAGACAGAAAAAGUAGUGAGUAUAGCCUCAAAAUGGCUGCAGGGCAAGGUAAGAAGCUGAGCUCAGCCUUCAAUCCAAUCCCUGUUUACACUCUGCCUAUUUAUUUGUUUAUAAUAUACUCUGACUCCCCAUCGACAUAUUUACAUUCUUGGUAGAAGAGAUUAUUUUUGAUAUCUCUUUGUAUUUAUUUCUUAGCACCAAGAUAAUUUUAACCACUAUUUUAUUAUUGUAAAUUCUAUUGUUUUUACUCCAAAGAAAUACAUAUUUGUUGAAGAAAAAUUAGAGAUACAGAUAAGUUAGGAAAAUAAUAAUAUCAGAAAACAGGGCCAUCAUUUAAAACAUGGUUACAUAAAUAAUAAAGUACUGUGCUAAGUAUUGUAAUGAUGCUGAUGCUUUUGUAAUAAUGAUACUGAUGGUGAAGAUGGUGAUGGUGAUGAUGAUGACAAUGAUGAACACAUACCUCCCACUGAUUAUGUGUAAGGCACUGUUCUAAACCUUUGUCUAAAUUAAUGCAUGAAGUCUUCACAACAGCCUCAAUAGAUGUUAUUCUUCCUCCCUCCUAUUUAUUUUAUUUUAGCAUAUUUUAUAGAUGAGGUAUCUGAAACAGAGAUAAGCAACCUGGCCUGAGUCAUACAACACAAAGUGAUGGAGGUAGGAAAUGACCCAGACGGUCAGGCUCCAGUUUUUUGGGCACUACCAAAUUAUAUUAAUAAUACAACUCUGUAGCAGCCUGCUUUCGAGUUAUGGAAUAGUUUCUAGAAUAAGUCACACACAUAGAUUUCGAGCCCAGGACCAUCUACUCUGAGCAGAAGCUCCUACCUAACCUUGACUAUAAACUGACUCUACCAGAUAAUCACACUUGGCCUUUCUGUAAGUGAUAAGCAACUUGCCUCUGUGGGCACCUACCCUGAGAAAGGUAGUCACCCUGCUCCAUGCUCUGUUUCAAGUACAUUUAUUAUUAUUUAUGAAUUACUUAUUAACAUAAAUUUAUUAUUAUUUACGUAUUAUCCAACUUAUUAAGUGAUGUAUAUGUAUGCAGGUGUGUAUGAUUAUGAAAUACAAGAUGAAAGAACUGUAAGAAAAUAGCUUUGAAAAAAUUAGUAAUGACUGGGCCAUAGCCCAGUGAUAAGGCAUGUUCACAUAUACCAUUUCCUUUCAUGAUGGUAACAGCCCAGCAAGGUAACUGUCAUCAGGGCUGUCAUGUAUUCUAGUACUGUUUGUGUACUGAAUAAAGGCAUUUGCCUGAGGGAUGAUAGGGCUCAAAUCCAGGCUGCACUCCUCUUGAUGAUCUAUGAACCCAAGAAGAUGAGUCUACCUGGAGGGAAAGGCUUUUCCAAUAUGCACAAAGUUCCACAGAAGCUAGAGUUGUCUUGGGAAUGAUUAUCUCCAUUUUGUAAAUAAGGAAAUUAAAGAUCAGAAAGAUUGAGUAAUUUCUCAAGAAUAUGUAUCCAGCAAAUAACAAAUCAAGGACUCAAACCUAGGCCAAUAUGGCUCUCACUUCCUUUCUCCAAAAUCACUGCUAUGUCUUUCAACUAAAUUGCAUUGCUCUGUUCACUGGUACAAAGCUUGUUGCACCAUUUAAAAUUCAAGGACUAUCUGAUUGUGUAUUAUAUUUUUAGAUCCUUUCCUGAAAGCAGGUUUUAAUGGGGAGGGAGAAAGUAGCAACUGGAAGAGAGUUUUGAGAUGGUAGAUGGUAAAAUGUGCAAGCAAAUUCCCAAAAAAUCUGGGGACACAGACUUCACUGCCUUCAGAAUAAUUGAAAGGAGAACCCUUCAAGUAUGAAGCUUCAGCUGAAAUUUCAACGUGGUUUAUUUACCUAAUAUGCUGUUCAUUAAUUACAAGCUAUUAGUGACUAUUAGCCUAUGAAAUUGUAUUUACAGUUCAGAAAUGUAUUUGAUUUUCACAAGCCUUACUGGGGAACAAUGCUCAGUCAACACUUUCUUCGCCUAAAGAGUACGAUCAAAGAGCAUGAAGCGUAGUAAAUGUUUAGCCUUUGAAUUUGGAGUUUACAAAGGAUAAUUAUCCACGGGUUGGUGAAUUCAUGUUCCUCUCUACUCCACACAGCCUCUGGUUUGCAUUUACAGUUUUGCACAAUCAGAUGUAAAAUUAAAAUAUAAUCAUUCCAUUUUAAAUGGUUCCCUGUACAAUUAUCUCAUUUUAAAUCUUUUGCUAAUGUGGUUAUUCUAAUGCAACUAUGAUCAUUAUUUUAUGUAUGUAAAGAUGUCAAUACUGUCCAGCUGAUGAUAUUAUCUAAUAGUAUGUAGCAAAGCAUGUUCCCUUCCUACAGUGCCUCACUCUUUCGAUGGGUAAGAUGGGAGGUGGGAGUGGGGGGAGCAUGGCAUUAGCUGUGGAUAAUAAAGCAAAGUAAGUACAAUAGGUGUUCAAUAAAGUCAUCAUUUUUGGUACUUACGAUGUAGUUUUCUUGUUCCUUUGGUUCCUUUUGCAGUGGGUGUAUUUGCUUAGACAGAGAGAAGUGGCAGAGGGAGACUGCAUUUGUAUUUGGUUAUUUCAGAGAAAUGCAACUUGGUAUUAUGAGCCUUUAAUUCUGUAGGGCAGUCUCCAGAUCAUUUUGAUGCUGAACUUUGUCAUAAAAAACUAUUGAUUUUUUUCUUCCAAUUAUAAACAUUUGCUGGUUUCUUGUCAGUUAAUAACUGACAUAACAUUAUUUCAGACCUUUCACUUAGGGCUCUGUUGUGUGUUUCUCUUGAUCAAAAUUAUUGCCUUAGCAUAUCAACUGAAUACACAAGAGAAAAAUCAAGUUAUCUAUGUUUAUCAUAUGCAUUUUUGAAUACCUAUAUGUGAUGCUUGAGCAUAGUGGUUUUUAUAAUCCUGUAAGCGAUUUUUCAGGAGACCAGAUCUGACCUCCUCUCUCACACCCCUUUCACACUGCCUGCAACACACCACACAUACCACACACAUCACCACCCUGACCGACCAAUGGAAUCUGAGCCAACUAUAAAUCUCAAACUUGUUGAUAUUGGAUAAUGCCUGGAGGAGAAACACGGCUACCGUUCAGUAAUUCCAGAAAGAAUUUCUUCUUUAAACUCAGUAAACCCAAUGGCUUCUCAGAAAGUUCUUUCUGAGUUUUCUUAUUUGAAAUUUGAAAAUUAUUUGAAAUUGACUUAACUGACAUCACCUGUUCCCCUCUGGAUCUCCCAGUGAUUUACUGUUGACUCUUUCAAAUCCACUCAUCUCAGGGCUGGGGGACUGAGUCACAGUCUGCUUUUUCCUCCAUUGUCAUUUCCAAAUUUUUCUUCCCUCUCCUUGCUGGGGGCUGGUGCUAAGUUGACCCCAUUUUUCCCUCCUUGUGCUGUCACUCACUGCCUUUCCAGAAUCUUCUGCAUCAGGUCAGUCACUCUUUCCAACUUAAUUCCAUAUGUCAACCCAUUCAUCACCGGAGCCACGUGGUUUCCUUCACACAAAUUGUCUUCUCUGCACCACAGAUGCCAGUACACUCUGGCCCUUGCCAUCUGUCCUUAAGAUGCAACACCGGUCUGCUUCCAAAAUCCCUAGUUCAGACAGCCUGCCUUCCAGUUGCCACAUCCUGUUUGUUUCCCAGUUUAACUAUGUCACUGCCACUGCUGCUUCUACUUGUCAGACCUUCACUGACCUCUCCAUUUCCCCCAUCCCUCCAUUUCAUCCUUACGUUCCUUCCGGCCCCCAUCUCUGCUUCAACGAAUGAACCCGUUUUCAUCUGUUUUUCCAUGUUGGGAUUCUAGUCAGAUUUCCUUGAAAUUAAAGCUUUUUCUAGUAUAAACACUCAGCCUGUCUCUCUCACUUUAAAAGUGAAGA